GUUCUACAAGUGUUGGUGAGCUGAACCCAUGUGCCUGUGACUGCAGCAGAAGGUUCAUACUUCUGGUAUGAUUUAACAGCUUCCACAUGUUCAUCUGCCACAGCUGGAAGUUAGUGUCACCACACCCUCUCCAUGUGAUGGGUGUGGCCCUGAAAUGAGAGCUCAGGUGACCUGACGGUGCUUAAUUACAUCAUGUUGCCACAUACCUCUUCGCCAUUGUCUAACUGGUUAUGAUUCUAAGGAAAAACCUGUAAAUAUUAUGAGCUUGCAGGUAUGAAAAAUGGAGAUCUUCUAAGAGAUUGUAACUUGCUUGAGGCCUCAAGGAUUGAAACUGUAAAGUACUCAAGAAGUGCAGGGUUCCGUGGAUUUUUUGACAUCAGAGCCUGCGUCUUCCCCACUGAAUAAUGCUGUGAUAUUUGUGUGACCUGUAAUGUUUUUCACCAUCAAAGAGAUCUUUGAUGACACAUCUCACAUCAAAGUCACAUUAGAUGCAAUGGGACUGAAGUCUCUAUCACCAGGAAGUAAACACCAUAAGUUUUCCACAAACUCUGGCAUGUUGCCACUGCUGAAUUGUGAGGCUUGCUGAAUCAUCUGCAGAAGAUAACAUUCAUUUUGCAAAAUGAAAGAAAUGUGGGGUAUAGAUUGUGGUAUAUA